UGGUGGAGUGAUUUGUCUGGUUAAUUCCGAUAACGAACGAGACCUUAACCUGCUAAAUAGUAACGCAAACUACGGUUUGUGGCUAACUUCUUAGAGGGACUGUCUGUGUCUAACAGACGGAAGUUUGAGGCAAUAACA
rnacentral:rRNA from 1 species